rnacentral:rRNA from 1 species
CCCAUUAAUUUAUAUAAAACGUAGAGAGAAGAAAGGGAAAGGGAAAAGAAAAAGAAAGAUGGGGUUAAUUUUUUAUCUUCUGUUGAAAAGAAAAAAUUCUUCCUUUUUUUAUCUUCCCUUGACCAAGUGAUUAAUGUACAAGAUGGGUUCAACCGGACUCCUUACAGCAGUAAUACACCGGUAUGGGUGCCGUACUAGUGGUACACGAGUGAGAGCGUAGGCCUCGUUCUUUACAACAGUAGCAGCGUUGUGGUACACCACACUGGUCGUUGCAUCAUGCCUGCGCAGGGACAGGUUUCAGAAAUAGCAGCGAGGGGAGGUGAGGUCCUAGCUGGUUUCGUUUUAAUUAGUUGCGCAUACGUACCUCUGCCUCUGCCCGUAGACGCUGGAGGGCGGCCUGACGGACCGGGAGCACCGGAGGGACUGGAGGGGGCCGCUGCGCACGUCCGACCGCCGGUGGCGGUCGCGCGAGGCCCGGCGGCGGCUGAGGCUGCUCCAGACCCCCUCGAAGGAAGGCCGCCUGACCCGGCUGCAGGAGCGCGCCAUGUCGUGGCGGCCGGCGGCGCUCCCACUUUGUUUCUUCCUCGAGAAGAGGGCGGAGACGCCGAGGGGGCAGGAGGAGCUGCCGACGUUGGACCAUUAGAAACGACAACGUCUGAAUUAACAAUCAUCAUGGUAAGCUUUCUAGCUAGUGCUUACUGUAACCGUAGCUAGGCGGCCGGCCCGCUCUUCUCGAAGAGCGACCUGUCCGCAUCGCCGCCGUUCUUCAUGUACUAUGGCCGCUUUCGAGACACGAUGCCCACCUCACCGAUGGGGAUGCCUCCGGAGCGGACCAGCGUGACGGUGGGAGUGAGGUCUAAGGCACUCCACCGACAAGAUAGCGUGAACACGACCGACCUGCACAUACCGUAAAACUUGUGGUUUUUGGAGAGCCCGCAGCCAUCUCCGAUACGGCGGAUAGAGCAUAUGUCCCAUGUAACCAACGUUCGAGGUUUGUGGCGAGUCUUCGUUUCACUCUUACGAUGUCGCAGGAGACAGCGGCGGUAGACGUUGGUACUCACGUUGGUAGACCACGGAGUAUUGAUGAGCGCCAGAGGCAAUACCCUGACCCUGACCCUUGAGUUACCUAGUAGCAGCAGCAGAUGCAACCAUCGGUACUGGCUCUUCUUAGUUUCAGCCUUCGGCGCCGAAUUUGGACUACCACAAACGCACUCCUCGCUGCCUGCUACCCAUCUCGUUCUCUAGUUUUAUCUCAACCUGCUCGUCACACACCUCCCUUUUCUCUCGUUAUAAAGGCAACUCAAGUCUCCCAACUGUCCCAGCGUACCCACGGUCUAAUAGUAUCUCCCCUAGCUCCAUUCUGGCUCUCGUUACCUCUCAGCUUUCGUACAUCUACGACGAAUCUAUCUAUUUAAGUCAGCAUAACACUUCAAACAAACGCAGUCAUAACGUUAAACGUUGAUACAACAUUUGAACUAUAGAAUUAAUUAAAACACGGAAUACAAGCUGAUCACAAAACUGUUGUUUCUAGGUCUUGUUUCGGG